GAUUCCCCUAGUAACUGCGAGUGAAGCGGGAAAAGCUCAAAUUUAAAAUCUGGCAGUCUUUGAUUGUCCGAGUUGUAAUCUAGAGAAGUGAUGCCCGCGCUGGACCGUGUACAAGUCUCCUGGAAUGGAGCGUCAUAGAGGGUGAGAAUCCCGUCUCUGACACGGACUACCAGGGCUUUGUGGUACGCUCUCAAAGAGUCGAGUUGUUUGGGAAUGCAGCUCUAAAUGGGUGGUAAAUUCCAUCUAAAGCUAAAUAUUGGCGAGAGACCGAUAGCGAACAAGUACCGUGAGGGAAAGAUGAAAAGAACUUUGGAAAGAGAGUUAAACAGUACGUGAAAUUGCUGAAAGGGAAACGCUUGAAGUCAGUCAUGUUGGCUAGAAAUCAGCCUCGCUUCUGCGUGGUGUACUUUCUGGUUGAUGGGUCAGCAUCAAUUUUGACCACUGGAAAAAGACUUGGGGAAUGUGGCAGCUCCGGCUGUGUUAUAGCCCUUUGUCACAUACAGUGGUUGGGAUUGAGGAACUCAGCACGCCGCAAGGCCGGGUUUCGACCACGUUCGUGCUUAGGAUGCUGGCAUAAUGGCUUUAAGCGACCCGUCUUGAAACACGGACCAAGGAGUCUAACAUGCCUGCGAGUGUUUGGGUGGAAAACCCGGGCGCGUAAUGAAAGUGAAAGUUGAGAUCCCUGUCGUGGGGAGCAUCGACGCCCGGACCUGAACUUUUGUGACGGAUCCGCGGUAGAGCAUGUAUGUUGGGACCCGAAAGAUGGUGAACUAUGCCUGAAUAGGGUGAAGCCAGAGGAAACUCUGGUGGAGGCUCGUAGCGAUUCUGACGUGCAAAUCGAUCGUCAAAUUUGGGUAUAGGGGCGAAAGACUAAUCGAACCAUCUAGUAGCUGGUUCCUG
rnacentral:rRNA from 1 species